GCCGUAAAUACCCUCAUGGAUUCUGGGGAUGCUGCAACCUCAUCAGCUAAGGCAGAAGUUGUCCCGUCCACACUCCCGGAAUAAUCUCCAACAAAGCUUUUAAACAUUUCAUCGAGUUUACCCAUCCUCGACUUAAAGGUAGGGUCUGCUAUUAUUUUGUUGAAUUGCUCCCCAAAGUCGGACAUAGCAAGUUCUGGGGAUGCCGCCUCAUCCUCCUUUUUUCCUACUGCAAAUUGGAUUGAGAGCAUCAAAGCCAAUGAGAAUACAACGAAAGAAACCUUCGCCAUGUUUUUUUUUUGUUUUUUUUUUAAAAAUUUUAAGAAAAAAAAGUAAGAUAUAUUUUUAUCGAUGGAACUGAGACCAAUUUUAAAGAGUUUAAAAUGAGAUUUUUUUUGCCAAAUUUAGGGGCGGUUGAAUGGUCUGGUGCUUAAUAGCCAUACACCAUUAACAGCCAAAGUAUGUAAUUUUUCUUUAUUUUGACUCUUUUCUCUUUCUUCCCCCUUUUAUUGUUUCCCGAAAUAGGGUUUAUUUUAAUCAAGUUUCAAUGUUCUUCAGAUGGGAAGAAAUGGGACUUCAAGAUUAGGGAUUAAAACUUAAAAGGAAGAAGAUAAAUAGGGUAAAUAGGUAAUGAGUAUUUUGUGUAUAUUUCCAUUCAAUACAACUUUAAUCAUGGGCGAAGCCAGAACAAUUAUUUAGGGGGCGAAUGAAAUUUUAAUUUUUUUAUAGUCUAUAUCUUUAUAAUUUUUAAGGGAUCAAAUUGAAUUUUUAUAAUUUCAGGAGGGGCCAAAGUGUAAUUUUAUAAUUUUGUAAUUUUUUUAAAGGCCUAAAUAAUAAUUUUUCAUUUUAGGGGGGCUAGGGCCCUGCCAGCCCCCUAGCUGCGCCUCUGACUUUAAUCACCAUUUAAAAAUCUAAUUUUGACAAUUCAUAAAUGAGUCUUACAUAUUUAAACAUCGAUAAUUAAUGUAUUGAGAAGCGAUGGAUGAAAAAGUACCGAUAGACGUUGGAAAAAAUUAAUAAUGCAUAAUAUGAAUUAUACUUAAUGUUAAUAUAACAUUUAUUUUUAAUUAUCCUAAAUUCAAGGUAAAAGAUAUGAUUUAAUGCUUUUCUUAAUUAGUGUAUCAAAUUCGGAAAUAAUUUUUCUAAAAAAUAUUGGCCAAAAAACUUUACAAAAGUUAGAUCUUACAAUUUUUAGAAAGAAAAUUUUAGCUUUGAAUAAAACCGUGGUUAAUGCCACUCUUUACAAUAUUGAAAAAAAAUUUAUUAAACCUAAGCUUAGAACAUUAAGCGAACAUCAGAUCUAAUGUGUAUUAUCGUCCGUCACCAGUGACAGUUUAAUUUCAUAUUCAAGCGUACCUCUCACAUAUUAUAGUGGGCCUUCCAAAAUAAUCAAUCGUUCAAUUACAUCUUCAUCUGUCUGAGUUAUGCAGCCAGUAAUUUUAUUGACAUUCCGUUGAAUGUAUAUCAAUUUUUAAUAAUAAUAUAUAAAUGAAACAUAGUUAUAUGGUUCUAAUAAAAACAACUCGAAUCAAUAUAAGAAAAGGUUACAGACACACCAAAAGGGGCAAGGAUCGACUCUGCUUUUUGGAACAGGACGUCAUUCUCCGCUCCAAAUUGGCCUCCGUUGAUACAUAGUAUCAACAAACACAAUACGAUCUUUGUUUGUGGAGUUAAAAAUGAAUAAAGCUAAAUUGCAUAUAUAAUUCUUAAAAGGAAAGAAAAAGUAAAAGUAAAAUUGAGCACAUUACUUAGAAUCCGUAUGUUUCUAGCAGAGACGAGUCCUCCAUGAGGGAUGAAAUUGAAAAGUAAGAAUAAAGCCCACAGGAAGCAGCAAAGGAUGAGAGAAAAUGAAGCUUUCAUAAUUCCCAUCAUAAUAAUAUGUUUUCUUUUCUCAAGGAAACUAUUUUAUUAUACCAUCAUAUAAAUUUUUUCAUAUGAAUGAGGGUCUUCUUCUUCUUUCAUAACAAUGACAGUGAAGCUUGAAAUUUGGUUAAGUUGGGUGUUGUUGGGUGAAACUGGUGUGGUGAUCCAAACAUACCACAACUUAGGAUUAUUAUUCCCCCACCCCAUUCGUAUUAAAAUCGUAAGUAUUCUUUUUUUGUCAAUUUUAAACUCUGAUUAGCCUGUACUCAUAUGACGUGACAUACAAUUGAGAGAAAAUACUUACGGGACUAAAAUUUUUAAACUGAAAAGAAAAAGGAUUAAAUUUUUUAUUCUUUGAUUACAAUAUUGUUAUUUGUUUUAAAUUUCUUAUCAAAUGUUGGAAUAAAAAAAAAUUGGGACCAAAGGUGUGUUCAUUUUCGAGUUUGGCUCUCAUCUGUAUAUAUUUUUAUCCAAUAUAGCUUUAAUCAUCGUUUAAAACUAUGGCUUUGACAAUUCAUAGAUUAGUACUACACAUUUGAAAAUCGAUGAAUAAAAAAGUAUCGAACAAGAUCCCGAAUCCAUGCUUUACAAAGUCAAAGUCAAGCUGUUAGAGGGAAAAAUGAAUAUGAUUUUCUUGUGGUGAUACAAGUCCCUUUGAAUAAUAGUAAAAAUAAAAAGGCCUAAUAUAUUUUUGGCAUAAUGUUAAAGUGAAUCUUUAAUGUUCAUGUUUUACAUAUUUAAACAUUGAUAAUUAACGUAUUGAAAAGCGAUGAAUGAAAAAGUAUCGAUACGGUUGAAAAAAAAUUAAGGGUAAACUACACCCAUGGUCACUUUUGUUUACUUUAAGUUACGUUUUAGUCACUUGUGUUUGAAAUGUUACGUUUUAGUCAUUUACGUUAUCAUGUUGUAACAUUUUAGUCACUGAGCCAUUAAUAGCCGUUAAUGGUGUAACGGUAAGCUGACGUGGCACGUUAAAUCAUCAUUUCAAACAAAAUUUUAGGUUAAAUUAUACAACUGAUCCCCAUAUUUUUUUCGUUUUAAGUAAUUUAAUUUUUUUCUUUUAUGUUCUUUAAACUUUUCUCUUUUUUUCCAUUCUCUUUUGUUUCUCCCUCUGUUUUCAUACCUUUCCCAUUUCAUGUAACAUAUUAGGAAGUCGAAUUGGCAAUGAAAAAAUAAGUAGGAAGUCGACUGUCAUCAUUUGCCUAUAACCAAAACCCAUAAACCCAUACCAUGCUUCUUUUUUCACUACCAAUUUGACUUCCUGGUAUGUUAAAAGAAAUAAAAAAGGCAGAAAAACAGAGGGAGAAGUAGAAGAGAAUGGAAAAAAAAAGAAAGAAAGUUAAAAGAACAUAAAAGAAUUAAAUUGCUCAAAACGAAAAAUUAUGGGGACCAAUUGUAUAAUUUAACCUAAAGUUUUUGUUUGAAAUGAUGAUUUGACAUGCCACGUCAGUUUACCAUUACAUCAUUAACGACAAUUAACGGCUCAGUGACUAAAAUGUUACAAUACGAUAACAUAAGUGACUGAAAUGUAACAUUUCAAAUAUAAGUGACUGAAAUGUAACCUAAGGUAAACAAAAGUGACCAUGGGUGUAGUUUACCCAAAAAUUAAUAAUACAUUAAAAUUAAAGCUAGAAUUGAAUUAUCUAAUUCUAUAUAAAAUUUAAAUUAUAAGGGCUUGAUGUGGUUGCAAAUAAGAUUUCUUUUUGUUUAUAUCUUGUGGUAUUAUAACAUUUAUUUCUAAUUAUCCUAAAUUCAAGGUGAAAGAUAUGAUUUAAUGCUUUUCUUAAUUAGUGUAUCAAAUUCCGCAAUGAUUUUUCUGGCCAAAAAAAACUUUAUACAAUUUUUAGAAAGAAAAUUUUAGCUUUGGAUAAAAUCGUGAUUCACCCCUGCAUGCUAGAGCGCUUUUAUAUGACAAGGCCACUCAUUGUUUCAUAUGUUUGUUUUUAAUGUUUAUUUUGUAGGUGGAGAUAACAAACUUUAAAUUAAAGAGUUAAUGGCACCAGACGUCCCCAAACUUUGAAAUAUUUUAAUUACAUCCUAAAGCUAUCGAUGUUACAUUUAUCAGGUCAUUCUAUUUCUAAAACCGUUAUUUUAACCUUUAAAUGACACAAAAAAAUCUUAUAUAACAUAAUUUAAAAAUGAAAAUUUAAAAAAAAAGGAAAAUGUUGUCACAUAGCCUCAAACCAAAGAUUUUUACAACACCCAUUUUUAAAAUAUUCAUCUUUAAAUUAUGUCACAUAAAAUCCGACAUCUCAUUUAACAAUUUUAGUAACGGAAGGACCUUAUUGACAUAUUACCAAUAGUUUAAGGAUAAAAUUAGAAUAUUUUGAAUUUUAUAAAAUUAAAUGAAUAUGUCACAUGCACACAAUUUUUUGUUUUUUUUUUCCUUGAGUAAAACUUAAUUUAACUUAAAUAUUUUUAUUCUAAUAAAAUAGUAAUAAUAGAAUGGUUUAAUAACUUAUUUUUUUCUCUCUUUUUUGAGGCUUCUAAAUUGAACCGUUUCUUAUUUUGGGGAAGCUGCAACCUUAUCAGCUAAGGCAGAAGUUGUCCCAUCCACACUCCCGGAAUCAUCUCCCACAGAGCUUUUAAACCUUUCAGCCAGUUUAGCCACCCCCGACUGAAACUCAGGGUCUGUUACUAUUUUUUUCAAUUGUUCCCCUUGUACUCCGCCUUCAUGCAAUGCAGCAAUAAAGCCGGACAUAACUGAAGCCGUAAAUACCCUCAUGGAUUCUGGGGAUGCUGCAACCUCAUCAGCUAAGGCAGAAGUUGUCCCGUCCACACUCCCGGAAUAAUCUCCAACAGAGCUUUUAAACAUUUCAUCGAGUUUACCCAUCCUCGACUUAAAGGUAGGGUCUGCUAUUAUUUUGUUGAAUUGCUCCCCAAAGUCGGACAUAGCAAGUUCUGGGGAUGCCGCCUCAUCCUCCUUUUUUCCUACUGCAAAUUGGAUUGAGAGCAUCAAAGCCAAUGAGAAUACAACGAAAGAAACCUUCGCCAUGUUUUUUUUUUGUUUUUUUUUUUAAAAUU
rnacentral:lncRNA from 1 species